rnacentral:rRNA from 1 species
UAAGGAAUAUUGGUCAAUGGGCGAAAGCCUGAACCAGCCAUCCAGCGUGCAGGAAGAAGGCCCUAUGGGUUGUAAACUGCUUUUAUCAGGGAAGAAACCCUUGGAUUGACUCCGAGGCUGACGGUACCUGAAGAAUAAGCACCGGCUAACUCCGUGCCAGCAGCCGCGGUAAUACGGAGGGUGCGAGCGUUAUCCGGAAUUACUGGGUUUAAAGGGUGCGUAGGCGGCUUGGUAAGUCAGGAGUGAAAGU